UCUGCUAACUAGUUGAUUCGAUCAAACAAUGAUCAACAAGAAGGAAAGGUGAAAUGGUGAGAAGUCAAUAAUUUGAGCAACUCAGAAUCCCCAAACCUGGACCACUAGCAAUCUUUAGAGCCAGAGCCUGAAGGACUUGGUACGUGGUGGUCUUCAAAAUUUUUGUGUCAAAUGUAGUCAUUGGGAACAAGGCAUCGUUAUAACGUUAUCUCAGUAAGGGCCAGCCAUGGAUUUGACUAUGAACACAAGGACGGUUUUGACUGGUUGCUGCUUGUCCAUUAAUCCGAAGAAAUUUCCACCCAUGAACUCGGCACGCUGAGCACAAUAAAUCUCGUUGGCCAUAAGAACCAUGACCUUCUCGCGUCCAUUAGGGGACUUGAUACGCUCGCCAAGAACAUGGUUCUCCCCUCAAUCCAAGUCCAUUUCAUGCCCGACAUGGUUCCAACAUUACGACACCUUGAUGUGGUAGUAUCCAUAUGAGACGUCCAUCAAACCCAUUCACCGACCUUUGGGAAAACAGUCUGCAAUUUUGACCCCGUGAUUUCGAAUGUAGUAGUUCAGAGUGCCGGAUGCAUCGAUGACUUAGCGUUUCUUUUUCCUCGAACUCUCGACCACCUGAACAAGCAGAACCAAGUGAGGAGGGUCGUCGAAUUCAACAAAUAACCCGUCUUCAAGCCCGUGUCGAAGCGAAUUUUCAACAACAUCAUGAUUUCAAAUGAACGGGCCAGCAGAUUAUUAGAUAGGUGCAUGCUUAGUGGAAACCGAAAAAGUGGAAUUUUGUAGUCGCAAGAAAAGAAAUCUUUCAGGAAACGGCUGAUUUGGAGGAAUUCAAUUUCGAAGUUUCUGAGUUCCGGUUUAUGGAUGUGUCCUGCAACCAACACCUUGCCAGUGGCGGUGAGAUGUUCAGGAUUGCUUAAUAUGUUCAAGGUGUGAUUUAAUGAAGAAAAAUAAUCUACAAUUGCAAUUCUGUUGUAAUUAAUGACAAGAAAGAAUGAAAAAAACAUACAUGACACUGGCAUAA